rnacentral:lncRNA from 1 species
UUUUUUUGAUCGGUAAAUGUAAAUAUAUAGAUAAAAAAUGUACCAUGUACAAAUACACCGGGCAUACCCGAGCGAGACAAUGUCCAAAAUCAAAUACAAGUACACCGGGCAUACCCGGGCGAAUCAAUGUCCAUAAACAUAAACAACUACUCCGGGCAUACCCGGGCAAACGUAAGGGACAAAUAAAAACGAAAUAUUCCGAGCAUACCCAGGAGAUACAAUCAAGUGAAGUACAUAAAAACUCAAUGUCCCAAUGCUAAAGACUCGAAAUGGAUCAAGACAUCCGGAUACGAGGUGAACAUAAACUUGUAUACGUGUGUUUUGAUCCGUCUCACAAUGCUAUCCAAGUCGGGUUUGAGAUCUUCAAAAAUCUUCCUAUUCCGUGUGAACCAAAUAUAGUAAACCGUAGUGGCAAGAGCAAUCCUCUUCACUUUACUUUGCCAUGAUGUUCCACGAGCCUCCUUUUUCAACCAUUUUAAAGCACUAGCAAUAGUUGACAUAGAUCUCCUAAUGCAAAGCUAACGCCUAACAUUCCCCCAUAAUGAAGAAGUGAAAGAACAUUUAAAGAAAAGAUGCUCACAAGUCUCCUCCGAAUGAGCACAAAAAACACAAUUCAUAUCAAUGUCCAAGAAGUGCAACUUAUCCUUAGUUAAGAGUUUAGAUUGAACUCCUAACCAAAGCAAGAAAGAGUGCUUCGGGGUGAUACACGGCUUCCAUAUUUCAGCUCCCCAAGUUUUGAAAGAACCUUUAGGCCUGAAGAAGUCAUAAGCAAAUUUUGUCCUAAAUUUAUCCAUUCCCAAACAGCCCAGAUUUUCGUUCAAAAAAUCAGAAAACUGCCUACUGACUGAAGCUGUCUGCCUGUGCACAAAACUGCCCAGAAUCUGCAGAUUUCGCCCCAAGUGUUGAGGCACAUUACCCAGCAAAUUAUGCUCAAAAUCAUCAGAAUAAGGUAGAGAAAUUCCCCCGUUAUUGCGCCCAACCGUCGGGACCUGUUGGUGAUGUCCAGCAGCCCCGGAUUGAGCCAAAACAUCCCUAAUUUCCAGCAGUUUCUUGAAGAGUGGGGAGUGAUCCUUUUUAGGGCUAACCUCCCAAAUGCAAGUCCCCUUAAGAUAAACUUGAUUCACCCAUCUAAUCCAUAGGGUAUCCUUCUUGUUUUGAAUGUUCCAAAUGGAUUUAGCAAGUAGCGCUAAAUUCCAAGUCUUCAAGUCUUUCAACCAAGGCCCCCUUCCGCUUUCGGAAGGCAUAGAUUCUUCCAUGCAACCAAUGGCUUCUUUGAUCCCCAAAGGAAGUUCCGACAAAGGCUAACAAUUCUAGAAAUAAUUGUAGCCGGAAUGGGGAAGAUAGAAAGCCAAAAACAUUCAACUCCUUGAAGCACCGCCCUAAUGAGUUCCAUCUUCCCGGCAUAGGAUAAAGAUGCACAACUCCAAGCACCAAUAUAACCCGCAAUUUUUUCAAGAAACGGUGCAUAAGAACUCACUUUGAGCUUCACCGAUGCAAGGGGAAUACCCAAGUAACGAAAAGGCAUAGUCCCUUUCGAAAAUUUUGAGAUUUCCAUGAUAGUUUCAAGCUCAUACCCAGAAAUUCCUGCGGUGUAGAUGCUGGAUUUCGUAGUGUUGAUCUUCAAACCCGAUGCUAAACCAAAUUUGUAAAGGCAAUUGCAUAGAAUUUCAACGGACAUAGCAUCACCCCUUGCAAAAAGCAUCAAGUCAUCUGCAAAAGUCAAGUGGGUUAUCUUAAGGGGACCACAUUUUGGGUGAUAAUUAAAAUCACUAUCAUUUGUAGCAUCCUUGAUCAUUCUAGAAAAAUAUUCAAGACAAAUCACGAACAAGAAAGGGGAGAGUGG